UCAUAUACAUGGUACUAUAUUGUAAUGUUAUGAGCCAGGGGAAAAAAGAACUACCCUACCCAGCAUGCAACAGGAGUGACGAGCAUGCGCGGUAGCCCGGUAUAGGUUGUGUCGCCAUGACGGCAUCUUGUAUGUUGUGAUAUGCACGCUCUGAAAGCAAACGUUAAGAACUCAGCCAACACUCCUGGUCUGCAUUAUUCAUAAAUGGACAGACAACACACAUACUCCGCUGCUUCACAAAGCACAAUAUGUUAAAUGUUUACUUUUACAGUUUUCUAAUUCUUCCUUUCAGAUUGACAGCAGGACAAAUCGCUGGAAGUGGGUAUGUCUCAAGCUUCUUCCACUUGGUCCACUCCAAAGCGGGCUGCAAAGGUGAAGAAGUGGAAGCAGUUGAAUGACACAUGUUGCAUUUUGUAACUGGCAACAAAGUACCAGGUAAAAAAGAUUGUGAAGCCUCCCUCCACAAAGAACUAGUAGCUCUACAGGACAGAGAUUGGCUUGCCAUCAAGUACUACAUCCAUAACAGAAUUAUAUUUAAAAAAGGAAAAAAAAAUGUUUUCCCACAUCUUCUGUGGUAGUUUGAGUAUGUUACCAGCAAUUAAAAAAGCAAAAUAAA